GCGGACGGGUGAGUAACGCGUGGGAACGUGCCCUUCUCUACGGAAUAGCCCCGGGAAACUGGGAGUAAUACCGUAUACGCCCUUUGGGGGAAAGAUUUAUCGGAGAAGGAUCGGCCCGCGUUGGAUUAGGUAGUUGGUGGGGUAAUGGCCCACCAAGCCGACGAUCCAUAGCUGGUUUGAGAGGAUGAUCAGCCACACUGGGACUGAGACACGGCCCAGACUCCUACGGGAGGCAGCAGUGGGGAAUCUUAGACAAUGGGGGCAACCCUGAUCUAGCCAUGCCGCGUGAGUGAUGAAGGCCUUAGGGUUGUAAAGCUCUUUCAGCUGGGAAGAUAAUGACGGUACCAGCAGAAGAAGCCCCGGCUAACUCCGUGCCAGCAGCCGCGGUAAUACGGAGGGGGCUAGCGUUGUUCGGAAUUACUGGGCGUAAAGCGCACGUAGGCGGACUGGAAAGUCAGAGGUGAAAUCCCAGGGCUCAACCUUGGAACUGCCUUUGAAACUAUCAGUCUGGAGUUCGAGAGAGGUGAGUGGAAUUCCGAGUGUAGAGGUGAAA
rnacentral:rRNA from 1 species